AUUUAUGGAGCUCCAGCUUGCCUACAUUCCUGAAGCCUUUCCUCAGGUUCCCGGGGACUGCAGCAGGUUCGGACGCUCUACGGUGAUUUGUGUUUUCAUGACAAUUUAUGUUCUGCAAACCUCAGCCUCAGAUAUCGCACCCUGUGAAGAGGAACAGGAUAUUGUUUUGAGAUGAACCUUACUUAACCACAGAAGAGUUCAUGAUCAGAAAAUGGCUGAAAACUAAAUCUGAAUGAGGAUACAAGUAGACUGCAUAAAAGCUGCUUCUUACCUGAUGCAUAAUUGUUGGCUGACCUUCUCACCUUUUUAAGGACAACAGAAGGUGGUUUCAAGGAAUGGUUUGGGAGCACAGCUGCAUAAGCCAGUGAGUCAGGACAAUGGAGAGCCCAACGUCAGGCAGAAGGAAGGAUGAGUGGAAAGAGAAGACCAGACUGAACCCCAGGUGGGGUGAAAAAUUAAGAUGAGGAAUCAUGUACUGAGGAAAGAAGUCAUGCUGCCAUCUACAGUGUGGAACCACUGCAUUAAGUAGUGUGUCUGUUCCUCCCUUUGGAGUUCAAUACCAAACAUUUGCCGUGAUUGUCUGGUUGCUUGAAUACAGAAGCUUGUCUGAGAAAGGAGCAGCUGGGAGCUGAUGAGUGGUACUUUCCUAUAUCUUAUGUCAAAAAUAGUAUUUCAGACCACUUCCAAGAAUACAGAUCAAAGUAAUUUGUUCUCUAAUUACCAUCAAUCAUGUAACAGUGUUUGGGGUUUUUUUUCCUUUCUUUAGGUGGGUUAACUUUUUUGGUUUUCAGGGAAUGCAGUCUUCUAGCUGCUCUUAGGCUGUACAUAUUCUAAAGAAGGGACAUUAAGAUGGUGAUGAUGUGUGUAAAAAUGUCCUAAUUUGUUAUCAAUAAUUUAAUAUUUUAAAUAAGCCUAAGACAACCUCUAGAAGAGCAAUAAACAGUGUAAAAAUUAAUGCUCAAAUGUAUUUUCCACCGAAGUGAUUACAUUUGUCUUCCUGAUGUUACUGUUCAGAAGCUUGAUGCCAGUUGCUAAUAAAUACCAACAAAUUAUUAC